rnacentral:rRNA from 1 species
GCCUACGAGGCGCAGCAGUGAGGAAUAUUGGUCAAUGGGCGGUAGCCUGAACCAGCCAAGUAGCGUGAAGGAUGAAGGUUCUAUGGAUUGUAAACUUCUUUUAUAAAGGAAUAAAGUGAGGCACGUGUGCCUUUUUGUAUGUACUUUAUGAAUAAGGAUCGGCUAACUCCGUGCCAGCAGCCGCGGUAAUACGUAGGAUCCGAGCGUUAUCCGGAUUUAUUGGGUUUAAAGGGAGCGUAGAUGGGGUGUUAAGUCAGUUGUGAAAGUUUGCGGCGCAACCGUAAAAUGGCAAUGGAAACGGGCGU